ACUCUUCAUGAAAGUCGCAACCCUACAGAAAAGUUACAACCCUUCAGAAAAAUCAGAAUUCUUCAAUUUUCCAUUCACACCUUUUAAAAUCCAAUAGAAUCUCCAUUCGGUCAUUAAAUAAUCAAACGAAUGAUCAUUCAAUCAUUAACUUAUCAGGUAUAUGUCUGCUCAAAUCUUCUCUAAUCACUUGGGUAAUCUUGAGCUUGUCGCUGCUUCUCUCGGAAAUAAUGGAAAGUUCAAAUUUUAAAAUUUGACUUGCUACAAAUGUGAAUCGUUUUGAAUAAAUAAAAUAUCAAAAAAAUCAACAUAUUGAGAGGACUUCAUAUCUAAAAUUUGGGAGUGUGUAAAGGAGAUUGGUCUUGUCAGGAUUGAAAGAAAAACCCAAAAGAUGAAUUGUUGCAAUGUAUAAAAAUUGUAUAACUAUGCAUAUGGAUAUAUACAUCUCUGAUAUAUAUAUAAUAUCAAUACAUUACAUACACAUAAGGCUAUUUUAGUUGAAAGGAAUUUUGGACAAUAGUAUAUUUAUGUAAGAAGCCCUUUUUUAUUUUUACUAUAAUCAUAUAUGUAUUUUAUUUUAGCAAUAUCUUCACUGAUGGUUAUAUUAACAAAAAAUGAAACUUCCCUCCUUUUCAAUUUAAUUGUCCAAUAUAAUCAGAUAUGAAAAUUAUUAUUUUUUAAAAUUUAUCGAUCUUUUUGUAAAAUAUAUCAAAUUUUAAUUGACUUGGUGGUUGUUCAUGAAUACGGACCUAAUAAUUCUCCAGCCCAAUUUGAAUUGAAUUAUUAUUGCCAUAGCUUGUUACUUUUAAAUAAUUUAUUUGGAGUUGCUUAGAGUGUUGUACUCUCUUUGUUUUUCAAAAGAAACAAUUAUCAUUAAUAUUUAAUUCGACCUAAAGUAAUUUUUAGAAUGUGACACUUGAAGUAAACAAUUUUGACAUUUCACGUAAGAAUGAGGCGUAAUAUUAGCAUUAAUAUGUCUAAUUCCUUUUGUCUUAAUUGUCUAAUUUGAUUCGGCGUGUAUGUAUUUGUUUUAAAUAUUUUCUAUAUUUUGAUAUCCAAUUGCUAUCAUUUCACCCCUCAGACGCAUUGAAAAAAGAGUGAACAUAUUUUCUCUGGAACAUGUGAGAGUGAAGAAAAUCAAAUUUCAUUAACACAUUGAAUUCAAUUUACAAACACUUUCUAGUUUUAUAGGAUCAAGAUAUAAAUUUAUAGCAAGGUAUGUGUUGAUAAGAAAACUAAGAUUAUACCUCUCAUCUAUCAUGCAUCUUAAACCAAAAUGAAAUAGAGGUUCAAAUUUGUCUUUAUCCUCUUGUAGCUAGAAAAGCUUGAAUUACCUGGGAAAUUUUACCUAGAAUUUUUUUGGCAGAUAUUUCUUGCGAAUUUUUUGUGCAAAAAUCUAAAAUUUCUAAAUUAUAGAAUAUGUAUUUGCGGGUAUACUUCCCCAAGGUAAAUCCGCAGGUAAUUUUGAUGUCAUCUAGCGCCAACAAAUUAGCUUGGGGAUUUAUUUGAAGAAAAUAAUGCCCAAAUAACAAUUUCCUAGGGUUGGGAUAAUUUCGGCAAUUUACCUAGGGAUAAUUUCUUGCGAAUUUAUUUGGGAAUUAUAUUACCUAGAAAAUUAGGAUGUUGCAAUUUUAUUUAGGUAUUACCUGGGUGUAUUAUGGAAUUUUAUUACUAUAAUUUUAUUACCUGGGUGGAUUAUAUUAAUUUAUAAAUGUUAGUAUUAUGACUUGAGCAUCAAAAAAAUCUUAUGAUUAUAUUUUUAAUUAUCA
rnacentral:lncRNA from 1 species